AUCCUGUUGAGCAACCCCACAGGGUUUAGGAAGGGAGCCCGGCUGAGGUCAGAAGAGUUGGUGCCACCCUGCAGGAAGGGUUCCCAGUGACGUCUGGGUCUGCUGUGGCCGCCCCCCUCCGCCCCCGGGCUUUUGCUGCACUGGGGUCUCUGGACAUGCGCACUUGUUGUCUUCCUCCCAGAUACCAACAAGCCCUCUCCCGGCACCUGCAGAAAAAGUGGGGAAAAUCCCCGAAGAGGCAGAAACAAAACCUAGUGAGCUGAAGGAUGAGGCUGCUGAAGAGCCUGAGCUCACUUGUUGUGGCCUGACCUGUUGUGGCCUUUGUACUUAUGCUGGAAAUCCCUAAAGAUUCGUCCGGAAGGGCCGCCAGCCAGUGGAUUUCCCUGGCCCCUCAGCCCUCUGGAGCGUACGAGUUUUGGAGAACCCUCUUCCUCUGUAUAUGCUUUUGACUUUCCUGGACUGAUGUAAAAAUACUCUUUUCUUUGACCUGUUUAUUUUUAAGACACCAUGUGAUUGUGUCAGCUUAUAUUUUAUUGCUGAAGUAAAUUUUCAAAUGUUU
rnacentral:lncRNA from 1 species